ensembl:lncRNA
GGGACAAUGGGAUGGGGGGACAUUGGGGACAGUGGGGACACUGGGAUGGGGGGGACACUGGGGACAUUGGGAUGGGGGGGACAUUGGGGACAUUGGGGAUGGGGGAAUGUGGGAACACCGGGAAUGUGGGGAUGGGGGGGAUGAUGUCCCCAAGCAGUUCCAGGGGCCACCAUGGGGGACAAUGAACCCCACUGAGGGACACCAAUGGGCCAACAGAACAUUUAUAGGGCCACGUAACAACGCGAGCGACCCGACAUGAAGCCAAAGGAGGACAAUGGGUGGCGCUGAGUGACACCAAUGGCUCCCAAUGUCCCCAAGUAGUUCCCAGGGCCACCAGGAGGGACAAUGGACCCCAUUGAGGGACACCCAACGCCGAAGGUCACCCAAUGGGCCAACAGAACAUUUAUAGGGCCACGUAACAACGCGAGCGACCCGACAUGAAGCCAAAGGAGGACAAUGGGUGGCGCUGAGUGACACCAAUGGCUCCCAAUGUCCCCACAGAGCUCUGAGGGUCACCAUGAGUGACAUUUGGACCCCAAUGAGGGACACCCAACGCUGAAGGUCACCCAAUGGGCCAACAGAACAUUUAUAGGGCCACGUAUCAACGCGAGCGACCCGACAUGAAGCCAAAGGAGGACAACGGGUGGCAUUGAGUGACACCAAUGGAUCCCAAUGUCCCCAGGAGGCGCUGAGUGCCACCAGGAGGGACAAUGGACCCCACUGAGUGACACCCAACACCGAAGGCCACCCAAUGGGCCCCAAUACCACCUAUAGGGCCACAUAUCAACACGAGUGUCCCAACAUGAAGCCAAAUGGAGACAAUGGAUGGUGUUGAGUGACACCAAUGGCUCCCAAUGUCCCCGCAGAGCUCUGAGUGCCAUCAGGAGGGACAAUGGACCCCAUUGAGGGACACCCAAUGCCAAAGGCCACCCAAUGGGCCCCAAUACCACCUAUAGGGCCACAUAUCAACACGAGCAUCCCAACAUGAAGACAACGGAGGGCAAUGGGUGGCGCUGAGUGACACCAAUGGGUCCCAAUGUCCCCAAGUAGUUCCCAAGGCCACCAGGAGGGACAAUGGACCCCAUUGAGGGACACCCCACACCAAAGGUCACCCAAUGGGCCAACAGAACGUUUAUAGGGCCACGUAACAACGCGAGCGACCCGACAUGAAGCCAAAGGAGGACAACUGGUGGCAUUGAGUGACACCAAUGGCUCCCAAUGUCCCCAGGAGGGACAAUGGACCCCAUUGAGGGACACCCAACGCCAAAGGUCACCCAAUGGACCCCAAUACCACCUAUAGGGCCACAUAUCAACAUGAGCGUCCCAACAUGAAGACAAAGGAGGGCAAUGGGUGACAUUGAGUGACACCAAUGGGUCCCAAUGUCCCCAAGAGGGACAAUGGACCCCAUUGAGGGACACCCAACGUUGAAGGUCACCCAAUGGGCCCCAAUACCACCUAUAGGGCCACAUAUCAACACGAGCAUCCCAACAUGAAGACAACGGAGGGCAAUGGGUGGCGCUGAGUGACACCAAUGGCUCCCAAUGUCCCCACAGAGCUCUGAGUGCCAUCAGGAGGGACAACGGACCCCAUUGAGUGACACCCAACGCCAAAGGCCACCCAAUGGGCCAAGAAAACAUUUAUAGGGCCACGUAACAACGCGAGCGACCCGACAUGAAGCCAAAGGGGGACAAUGGGUGGCACUGAGUGACACCAAUGGCUCCCAAUGUCCCCAGGAGGGACAAUGGACCCCAUUAAGGGACACCCAACGUUGUUGGACAACC